rnacentral:rRNA from 1 species
GAUGAACGCUGGCGGCGUGCUUAACACAUGCAAGUCGAACGGUGAAGCAGGAGCUUGCUCUUGUGGAUCAGUGGCGAACGGGUGAGUAACACGUGAGCAACCUGCCCCUGACUCUGGGAUAAGCGCUGGAAACGGCGUCUAAUACUGGAUAUGUGAUGUGACCGCAUGGUCUGCAUCUGGAAAGAAUUUCGGUUGGGGAUGGGCUCGCGGCCUAUCAGCUUGUUGGUGAGGUAAUGGCUCACCAAGGCGUCGACGGGUAGCCGGCCUGAGAGGGGGACCGGCCACACUGGGACUGAGACACGGCCCAGACUCCUACGGGAGGCAGCAGUGGGGAAUAUUGCACAAUGGGCGCAAGCCUGAUGCAGCAACGCCGCGUGAGGGAUGACGGCCUUCGGGUUGUAAACCUCUUUUAGUAGGGAAGAAGCGAAAGUGCCGGUACCUGCAGAAAAAGCACCGGCUAACUACGUGCCAGCCGCCGCGGUAA